UGAACGCUAGCUACAGGCUUAACACAUGCAAGUCGAGGGUCAGCAUUUCAGUUUGCUUGCAAACUGGAGAUGGCGACCGGCGCACGGGUGAGUAACACGUAUCCAACCUGCCGAUUACUCGGGGAUAGCCUUUCGAAAGAAAGAUUAAUACCCGAUGGUAUAAUCAGACCGCAUGGUCUUGUUAUUAAAGAAUUUCGGUUAUCGAUGGGGAUGCGUUCCAUUAGGCAGUUGGUGAGGUAACGGCUCACCAAACCUUCGAUGGAUAGGGGUUCUGAGAGGAAGGUCCCCCACAUUGGAACUGAGGCACGGUCCAAACUCCUACGGGAGGCAGCAGUGAGGAAUAUUGGUCAAUGGGCGCAGGCCUGAACCAGCCAAGUAGCGUGAAGGAUGACUGCCCUAUGGGUUGUAAACUUCUUUUAUAUGGGAAUAAAGUUUUCCACGUGUGGAAUUUUGUAUGUACCAUAUGAAUAAGGAUCGGCUAACUCCGUGCCAGCAGCCGCGGUAAUACGGAGGAUCCGAGCGUUAUCCGGAUUUAUUGGGUUUAAAGGGAGCGUAGGUGGACAGUUAAGUCUGUUGUGAAAGUUUGCGGCUCAACCGUAAAAUUGCAGUUGAUACUGGCUGUCUGAAGUACAGUAGAGGUGGGCGGAAUUCGUGGUGUAGCGGUGAAAUGCUUAGAUAUCACGAAGAACUCCGAUUGCGAAGGCAGCUCACUGGACUGCAACUGACACUGAUGCUCGAAAGUGUGGGUAUCAAACAGGAUUAGAUACCCUGGUAGUCCACACAGUAAACGAUGAAUACUCGCUGUUUGCGAUAUACAGUAAGCGGCCAAGCGAAAGCAUUAAGUAUUCCACCUGGGGAGUACGCCGGCAACGGUGAAACUCAAAGGAAUUGACGGGGGCCCGCACAAGCGGAGGAACAUGUGGUUUAAUUCGAUGAUACGCGAGGAACCUUACCCGGGCUUAAAUUGCAUUUGAAUAUAUUGGAAACAGUAUAGCCGUAAGGCAAAUGUGAAGGUGCUGCAUGGUUGUCGUCAGCUCGUGCCGUGAGGUGUCGGCUUAAGUGCCAUAACGAGCGCAACCCUUAUCUUUAGUUACUAACAGGUCAUGCUGAGGACUCUAGAGAGACUGCCGUCGUAAGAUGUGAGGAAGGUGGGGAUGACGUCAAAUCAGCACGGCCCUUACGUCCGGGGCUACACACGUGUUACAAUGGGGGGUACAGAAGGCAGCUACCUGGUGACAGGAUGCUAAUCCCAAAAGCCUCUCUCAGUUCGGAUCGAAGUCUGCAACCCGACUUCGUGAAGCUGGAUUCGCUAGUAAUCGCGCAUCAGCCAUGGCGCGGUGAAUACGUUCCCGGGCCUUGUACACACCGCCCGUCAAGCCAUGAAAGCCGGGGGUACCUGAAGUACGUAACCGCAAGGAGCGUCCUAGGGUAAAA
rnacentral:rRNA from 1 species